GUACACUCCUACGGGAGGCAGCAGUGGGGAAUAUUGGACAAUGGGCGCAAGCCUGAUCCAGCCAUGCCGCGUGAGUGAUGAAGGCCCUAGGGUUGUAAAGCUCUUUCACCGGAGAAGAUAAUGACGGUAUCCGGAGAAGAAGCCCCGGCUAACUUCGUGCCAGCAGCCGCGGUAAUACGAAGGGGGCUAGCGUUGUUCGGAAUUACUGGGCGUAAAGCGCACGUAGGCGGAUCGAUCAGUCAGGGGUGAAAUCCCAGGGCUCAACCCUGGAACUGCCUUUGAUACUGUCGAUCUGGAGUAUGAAAGAGGUGAGUGGAAUUCCGAGUGUAGAGGUGAAAUUCGUAGAUAUUCGGAGGAACACCAGUGGCGAAGGCGGCUCACUGGUCCAUUACUGACGCUGAGGUGCGAAAGCGUGGGGAGCAAACAGGAUUAGAAACCCGAGUAGUCCC
rnacentral:rRNA from 1 species